rnacentral:tRNA from 1 species
GGGGGUGUAGUUAAGUGGUAUAACGGGUCAUUCGCAUUGAUCAAACCGGAGUUCGAUUCUCCGCACCUCCA